rnacentral:rRNA from 1 species
UUAUAUUUUAUUUAUUAAUUAAUUUUUUUUUUAUUAUAAAUUAUUAAAAGUAAUUAUUAUGUGAAUUGUUUGAGUAUUUUAUAAAGAAAAAAUAAUUUUAAUUAUAGUUAAAUAGUAUUGUGAAAGAAAAUUGAAAUAAUUUGAAAAAUUAAUAUUUUAAAAGAAAAUUUAAUUUAUUGUACCUUGUGUAUCAGGGUUUAUUAAAUAAAAAUUAUUUAGUAUAAUUUUCUCGAUUUUAAAAGAGUUAAUAUAUUAUAAAAGUUAAUGUGAUAAAAUUAUUUUGUAUAAUAUAUUAGAAAUGAAAUGUUAUUCGUUUUUAAAGGUAUCUAGUUCUUUAAGAAAUAAAUUUAAUUUAGAAAUUUUAUAUUAUUUAAUUAAGUAUAUUAAUUAAAUAAUUAUUUUAUUUUAAUAUUUUAUGGGAUAAGCUAUAAAAUAAAUUAUUAUAAAUUAGUAAAUAAGUUUAUAAAUAUAAGCUUAGAAAUAGCUAUUAUUAAUAAAAUUGUUAUAAUUUAUUUUAUAAUAUUGAUUAUUUAUUGAAUUUUAAUUAAGUAUUAAAGUAUUUAUUUUAAUUUUAAAAAUAAAAAAAUAAUGAUAAAAUUAGUAUAUUAUAUUGUAUAAAUAUUAGUAAUUGAUAAGUUUUUAUAAAGAACUCGGCAAAAAUAAUGUUCGCCUGUUUAACAAAAACAUGUCUUUUUGAAUUUUUUUAAAAGUCUAGCCUGCCCACUGAAUAAUUUAAAUGGCCGCAGUAUACUAACUGUGCAAAGGUAGCAUAAUCAUUAGUCUUUUAAUUGAAGGCUGGUAUGAAUGGUUGGACGAGAUAUUAACUGUUUCAUAAAAAUUUAUAAUAGAAUUUUAUUUUUUAGUCAAAAAGCUAAAAUAAAAUUAAAAGACGAGAAGACCCUAUAAAUCUUUAUAUAUUUAAAUUAUUGUAAUUUUGUAGAUUUUUUUUAUUAUAAUAAUUAAUUAUAUUUUAUUGGGGUGAUAUUAAAAUUUAAUAAACUUUUAAUUUUUAAAAUCAUUAAUUUAUGAGUAAUUGAUCCGUUAAUAACGAUUAAAAAAAUAAGUUACUUUAGGGAUAACAGCGUAAUUUUUUUGGAGAGUUCAUAUCGAUAAAAAAGAUUGCGACCUCGAUGUUGGAUUAAGAUAUAAUUUUAGGUGUAGCCGCUUAAAUUUUAAGUCUGUUCGACUUUUAAAUUCUUACAUGAUCUGAGUUCAAACCGGCGUAAGCCAGGUUGGUUUCUAUCUUUAAUAAAUUAAAAUAUUUCAGUACGAAAGGACCUAAUAUUUAAUAAAUAAUUAUUUUUAUAUUGAAUAUAAUUAAUUUAU